GAAAUGCGAUACGUGGUGUGAAUUGCAGAAUCCCGUGAACCAUCGAGUCUUUGAACGCAAGUUGCGCCCAAGGGACCCUCCCGAGGGCACGCCUGCCUCAUGGGCGUUAGAAGCCCAUCCACGCUCGGUUGCCCAACUAACGGCAAAAGAUGCGGACAUUGGCCCUCCGAACCGCGAGGCGCGGUGGGCCUAAGUGUGCGGCCGUCGUACGUGGCCGGGAGCGGCGAGUGGUGGGCUACUGCGCACGUCACCCCGAGCCCCGUACCGAUGCAGGGCCUUGUUUGAUCCCUAACGAGGAGCAUGUCGUUGCGGCUUUUGCUGUGCGGUGCCUUCGGACCGAUACCCCAGGUCAGGCGGGGCUACCCGCCGAGUUUAA
rnacentral:misc_RNA from 1 species